rnacentral:tRNA from 1 species
GAGAUGUAGUGAAACAAAUAGAUUAACUGACUCUUAAUCAGUAGGUUCGGGGUUCGAUUCCCUGGCGGCUCACCA